UCCUGGUAGCUUAGACAGUAGAGUCUGCCUGCAAUGCAGGAGACCCAGGUUCGAUCCCUGGGUCAGGAA
rfam:TPA: Bos taurus chromosome 12, whole genome shotgun sequence.